rnacentral:rRNA from 1 species
UUAAGCGACUAAGCGUACACGGUGGAUGCCCUGGCAGUCAGAGGCGAUGAAGGGCGUGCUAAUCUGCGAUAAGCGCCGGUAAGGUGAUAUGAACCGUUAUAACCGGCGAUACCCGAAUGGGGAAACCCAGUGUGACUCGUCACACUAUCAUUAACUGAAUCCAUAGGUUAAUGAGGCGAACCGGGGGAACUGAAACAUCUAAGUACCCCGAGGAAAAGAAAUCAACCGAGAUUCCCCCAGUAGCGGCGAGCGAACGGGGAGGAGCCCAGAGCCUGAAUCAGCAUGUGUGUUAGUGGAAGCGUCUGGAAAGGCGCGCGAUACAGGGUGACAGCCCCGUACACAAAAGCGCAUGUGCUGUGAGCUCGAUGAGUAGGGCGGGACACGUGGUAUCCUGUCUGAAUAUGGGGGGACCAUCCUCCAAGGCUAAAUACUCCUGACUGACCGAUAGUGAACCAGUACCGUGAGGGAAAGGCGAAAAGAACCCCGGCGAGGGGAGUGAAAAAGAACCUGAAACCGUGUACGUACAAGCAGUGGGAGCNAUAGGGGAGCCGGAGGGAAACCGAGUCUUAAUUGGGCGUUAAGUUGCAGGGUAUAGACCCGAAACCCGGUGAUCUAGCCAUGGGCAGGUUGAAGGUUGGGUAACACUAACUGGAGGACCGAACCGACUAAUGUUGAAAAAUUAGCGGAUGACCUGUGGCUGGGGGUGAAAGGCCAAUCAAACCGGGAGAUAGCUGGUUCUCCCCGAAAGCUAUUUAGGUAGCGCCUCGUGAAUUCAUCUCCGGGGGUAGAGCACUGUUUCGGCUAGGGGGCCAUCCCGGCUUACCAACCCGAUGCAAACUGCGAAUACCGGAGAAUGUUAUCACGGGAGACACACGGCGGGUGCUAACGUCCGUCGUGAAGAGGGAAACAACCCAGACCGCCAGCUAAGGUCCCAAAGUCAUGGUUAAGUGGGAAACGAUGUGGGAAGGCCCAGACAGCCAGGAUGUUGGCUUAGAAGCAGCCAUCAUUUAAAGAAAGCGUAAUAGCUCACUGGUCGAGUCGGCCUGCGCGGAAGAUGUAACGGGGCUAAACCAUGCACCGAAGCUGCGGCAGCGACGCUUAUGCGUUGUUGGGUAGGGGAGCGUUCUGUAAGCCUGUGAAGGUGGCCUGUGAGGGUUGCUGGAGGUAUCAGAAGUGCGAAUGCUGACAUAAGUAACGAUAAAGCGGGUGAAAAGCCCGCUCGCCGGAAGACCAAGGGUUCCUGUCCAACGUUAAUCGGGGCAGGGUGAGUCGACCCCUAAGGCGAGGCCGAAAGGCGUAGUCGAUGGGAAACGGGUUAAUAUUCCCGUACUUGGUGUUACUGCGAAGGGGGGACGGAGAAGGCUAUGUUGGCCGGGCGACGGUUGUCCCGGUUUAAGCGUGUAGGUGUGUGUUCCAGGUAAAUCCGGUUCACUUUAACACUGAGGCGUGACGACGAGGCACUACGGUGCUGAAGCAACAAAUGCCCUGCUUCCAGGAAAAGCCUCUAAGCAUCAGGUAACAUCAAAUCGUACCCCAAACCGACACAGGUGGUCAGGUAGAGAAUACCAAGGCGCUUGAGAGAACUCGGGUGAAGGAACUAGGCAAAAUGGUGCCGUAACUUCGGGAGAAGGCACGCUGACACGUAGGUGAAGUGAUUUACUCAUGGAGCUGAAGUCAGUCGAAGAUACCAGCUGGCUGCAACUGUUUAUUAAAAACACAGCACUGUGCAAACACGAAAGUGGACGUAUACGGUGUGACGCCUGCCCGGUGCCGGAAGGUUAAUUGAUGGGGUCAGCGCAAGCGAAGCUCCUGAUCGAAGCCCCGGUAAACGGCGGCCGUAACUAUAACGGUCCUAAGGUAGCGAAAUUCCUUGUCGGGUAAGUUCCGACCUGCACGAAUGGCGUAAUGAUGGCCAGGCUGUCUCCACCCGAGACUCAGUGAAAUUGAACUCGCUGUGAAGAUGCAGUGUACCCGCGGCAAGACGGAAAGACCCCGUGAACCUUUACUAUAGCUUGACACUGAACAUUGAGCCUUGAUGUGUAGGAUAGGUGGGAGGCUUUGAAGCGUGGACGCCAGUCUGCGUGGAGCCGACCUUGAAAUACCACCCUUUAAUGUUUGAUGUUCUAACGUGGACCCGUAAUCCGGGUUGCGGACAGUGUCUGGUGGGUAGUUUGACUGGGGCGGUCUCCUCCUAAAGAGUAACGGAGGAGCACGAAGGUUGGCUAAUCCUGGUCGGACAUCAGGAGGUUAGUGCAAUGGCAUAAGCCAGCUUGACUGCGAGCGUGACGGCGCGAGCAGGUGCGAAAGCAGGUCAUAGUGAUCCGGUGGUUCUGAAUGGAAGGGCCAUCGCUCAACGGAUAAAAGGUACUCCGGGGAUAACAGGCUGAUACCGCCCAAGAGUUCAUAUCGACGGCGGUGUUUGGCACCUCGAUGUCGGCUCAUCACAUCCUGGGGCUGAAGUAGGUCCCAAGGGUAUGGCUGUUCGCCAUUUAAAGUGGUACGCGAGCUGGGUUUAGAACGUCGUGAGACAGUUCGGUCCCUAUCUGCCGUGGGCGCUGGAGAACUGAGGGGGGCUGCUCCUAGUACGAGAGGACCGGAGUGGACGCAUCACUGGUGUUCGGGUUGUCAUGCCAAUGGCACUGCCCGGUAGCUAAAUGCGGAAGAGAUAAGUGCUGAAAGCAUCUAAG